CCUACGGGAGGCAGCAGUGGGGAAUAUUGGACAAUGGGGGGAACCCUGAUCCAGCGACGCCGCGUGAGUGAAGAAGUAUUUCGGUAUGUAAAGCUCUAUCAGCAGGGAAGAAAGAAAUGACGGUACCUGACCAAGAAGCCCCGGCUAACUACGUGCCAGCAGCCGCGGUAAUACGUAGGGGGCAAGCGUUAUCCGGAUUUACUGGGUGUAAAGGGAGCGUAGACGGUAAUGCAAGUCUGGAGUGAAAUGCAGGGGCUCAACCCCUGAACUGCUUUGGAAACUGUAUGACUGGAGUGCAGGAGAGGUAAGUGGAAUUCCUAGUGUAGCGGUGAAAUGCGUAGAUAUUAGGAGGAACACCAGUGGCGAAGGCGGCUUACUGGACUGUAACUGACGUUGAGGCUCGAAAGCGUGGGGAGCAAACAGGAUUAGAUACCCGGGUAGUC
rnacentral:rRNA from 1 species